rnacentral:rRNA from 1 species
GAUGAACGCUGGCGGCGUGCUUAACACAUGCAAGUCGAACGGUGAAGGGACAGGUUUUUGCUGGUUCUGGUUGAGUGGCGAACGGGUGAGUAACACGUGUGUAAACUGCCUCCUUCGUCUGGAUAACCGUAUGAAAGUGUGCCCUAAACGGGCAAUUCUGCGCCUGAUGCAUGGAGGGUAUGGGAAGAAUAUUCUUUAUGUGGGGGGCGGGCUUCCGGCUUAUCAGCUGGUUGGUGGGGUGAUGGCCUACCAAGGCGGUGACGGGUAGCCGGACUGAGAGGGUGGACGGUCACACUGGGACUGAGACACGGCCCAGACUCCUACGGGAGGCAGCAGUGGGGAAUAGUGCACAAUGGGCGCAAGCCUGAUGCAGCGACGCCGCGUGAGGGAUGGAGGCCUUCGGGUUGUAAACCUCUUUCGCCAGUGAAGCAGGCCUGUCCCUUUUGUGGGUGGGUUGACGGUAGCUGGAUAAGAAGCGCCGGCUAACUACGUG